rnacentral:rRNA from 1 species
AGGUCAAGCAAUAAGGGCACAGGGCGGAUGCCUUGGCACUAAGAGCCGAUGAAAGACGUGAUAAGCUGCGAAAAGCUUCGGGGAGGAGCAAAUAUCCCGUGAUCCGGAGAUGUCUGAAUGGGGAAACCCGCAUGAGCAGACCUCAUGCAUCCAUACGCCAAUCCAUAACGUAUGGAAGGGAACCCGGGGAACUGAAACAUCUAAGUACCCGGAGGAAAAGAAAGAAACAUCGAUUCCGUAAGUAGCGGCGAGCGAACGCGGAGGAGCCUAAACCGGUGUGCGUGCAUGCCGGGGUCAUGGACUGCAUUUAAGAUUCAGCGAAGUUAACAGAACGGUUUUGGGAAAGCCGGCCGGAGAGGGUGAAAGCCCCGUACGUGAAAGCAGAGCUGACUGAGCAGGAUCCGGAGUACCACGAGACACGAGGAACCUUGUGGGAAGUAAGGGGGACCACCCCCUAAGGCUAAAUACUACUUAGUGACCGAUAGCGCAUAGUACUGUGAAGGAAAGGUGAAAAGGACCCCGGGAGGGGAGUGAAAGAGAACCUGAAACCCUGUGUCUACAAGCUGUGGAAGUACUUUAUAUGUACGACCGCGUACUUUUUGUAGAACGGUCCGGCGAGUUACGCUUACUGGCAAGGUUAAGCACUUCAGGUGUGGAGCCGUAGGGAAACCAAGUCUUAAUAGGGCCAGAGUCAGUAGGAGUAGACCCGAAACCGGGUGAUCUAUCCAUGUCCAGGUUGAAGCUGCCGUAAGAGGUAGUGGAGGACCGAACCCACAUCCGUUGAAAAGGGUGGGGAUGAGGUGUGGAUAGGGGAGAAAUUCCAAUCGAACCCGGAGAUAGCUGGUUCUCCUCGAAAUAGCUUUAGGGCUAGCCUCGGUGUGAGUCUUGCGGAGGUAGAGCACUGAAUUUCCUAGGGGGCGUCAAAGCCUACCGAAGAAUAUCAAACUCCGAAUGCCGUGUAGAUAUCACCGGGAGUCAGACUGCACGAGAUAAGUUGGGCGGUCAAAAGGGAAAGAGCCCAGACCUACAGUUAAGGUCCCAAAGUGCGCGUUAAGUGGAAAAGGAUGUGGGAUUUCGAAGACAACCAGGAUGUUGGCUCAGAAGCAGCCAUACAUUCAAAGAGUGCGUAAUAGCUCACUGGUCGAGAGGUCCUGCGCCGAAAAUGUCCGGGGCUGAAACGCGCCACCGAAACUAAGGAAUCCGUAAGGAUUGGUAGAGGAGCAUUGCAUAUGGGAAGAAGCAGUACCGUAAGGAGCUGUGGACUAUAUGGAAGAGAGAAUGCCGGAAUGAGUAGCGAGAUAGAGGUGGGAAUCCUCUAGGCCGAAUAUCCAAGGUUUCCAGGGUAAAGCUGAUCUGCCCUGGGUGAGUCGGGACCUA